UACACAUGUUGCAAUCUAGUUUUAUAAUUCCGUUUGAUUUGAUUGUUUCUUGAAUCUGUUAACUAUAAUAACCACGUGACCACCAACAGGAGGGACUUUGCGUGUCUUCUUCAGGACAGGAGUUUCCCUCAAUGGUGAAAUCUCCUGUAAAAUCAUGGACCGACUUGCGACCGUCAUUGGACAACAACAUAUAGGUCUGACGGUGGGAUUGAGUUUGAUGAUCAUCGUCGUGAUAAUCGUUCUUGCAGCGGUUGUUUACACUCCUCCGGGCGCUACAACGCGCUGCUUGAGAAGAAACAGGAGUGAAGAACACCUCUCCCUGACUGCUAACAGAAUUUCAUGACUGUACUAACAGAAACACAUGAACUUUAUGGAUCUCAGUGUUGGACCCACUAUAGGAACAUUUGACCCUUUUAGAAAAAUGACUUCCAAACAAAUCACAGUUUCCAAAGACAUGGAAAUAUAAUAAAAAGUCAUUGACAAGCAUUUUGUUGGCCUUCAUUAUGAAGGAUACUAAGGCCAUUUUUGUAUACCUUUUGUAUACAAGUAUGAUCAAGUAGGGCUUGGAUCUCUAAAUACAUCUCUUCAUACAAAUGUAAAUUCUCUCCAGCAGUCUCUGUAAAAUGAUGUUAAAAAUACUUAUUAGGAAUAACUGGAAAAGCCAUGGAAAAAUCAUGGAAAUUCAUUGCCGAGAAAAUGACGGGAACCCUGUAAAUUAAUUGUGUUUAUAUUGAAUAACCACUAAAGAACAUUUUAAACUAGAGCUUUGUAUACUUUCUCCAAUUGUCACACAUUUCUAUUAAACAAUAGGCCUAUAUAAUUAAAAUGUGUAUUCUUUGUUAUGUUGAUUUAUUGAUUAGCCAAGAACAUGAGCUCAAUACCUACUCCUUAAUUGGGUUAGAUGCCAUACUGAAUUUAAGGCAAAUGAAAACAAGGCUGUGAGGUCUUUUCAAUGGCACGAACUGUAUAAAGGUCCUUAGAUUGGUCCUCACUACAGAACACAAUAUCCAGGGGGCGAGGGUGGAUCCAGAUCCAGCUCCUCCCACCUUACAUAUCCCUAAACCUACCAUCUCCAGGAUGGAUCUUGUGUAGUGCAGCGAGGGGCUACUGGAAAUUUUCACAACUUUCUAAACUGUUUUAUGGAGUUUUCGUUUACUGAAAGCUUUUUUUUUUUUUCUCUCAGAAGGACGUUUCGUCAGCUACAAUCCAUUCGCAACAAUCCAAGUACAAUCCAUUGAAUGCAUUGUACUUUCUUUCAUCACAGCCUCAUUUUCAUUCCUGUCAAAAAUUAAAUAUGACGCUACCCUGACUGGUCUACACGCAAUAACUGUACCACAGGAACUACAAAAGCUGCAAUUCCAGUAGACAACCAUUAGAUGGACUAGUACUCUGUGGAAAGGAUAAGAGUCUGUGAUACAGCAUAUUUUGUUUUCAUUUAGGCAACUAUAAAUGCUGCUGCUACCUUUUAUUUGCUUUCACAUGGUGGACACUGUCAUUCUGACAUAUAAGAGUUCUCAACUGAAAUUAAACAGGAAUUUUACACCAUUAGGACUUUUAUCACAAAAUGAUAAAGUGAGUGUUCAGUACUAUUCAGUAUGUUCAUUGCAUCUGAACAUAUUUAAGUGGUUCAGCUUUUAGAUUUCACUUUUUUUUUACCAUAAUAUAUAUUUCUGUUGUGUGAAAGAAAGCAUUAAAAUUUUGUGAAUCUUCAA